AAAAGCUUAUGUCUGGUCUGCUAUGUCGUGGUACUUUGGUGUUUUGGAUGUUUUUGAACUAAACCGUAAGGCAAUCCUGCUAAUGAAUACAAUAACGUCUUCAGCAGAUGUCUUACUUACAACACAAUGGAGUUAGCAAAGUAGUUUUGUCUUU